rnacentral:rRNA from 1 species
AUUGAACGCUGGCGGCAGGCCUAACACAUGCAAGUCGAGCGGAUGAAGGGAGCUUGCUCCUGGAUUCAGCGGCGGACGGGUGAGUAAUGCCUAGGAAUCUGCCUGGUAGUGGGGGAUAACGUCCGGAAACGGGCGCUAAUACCGCAUACGUCCUGAGGGAGAAAGUGGGGGAUCUUCGGACCUCACGCUAUCAGAUGAGCCUAGGUCGGAUUAGCUAGUUGGUGGGGCAAAGGCCUACCAAGGCGACGAUCCGUAGCUGGUCUGAGAGGAUGAUCAGCCACACUGGAACUGAGACACGGUCCAGACUCCUACGGGAGGCAGCAGUGGGGAAUAUUGGACAAUGGGCGAAAGCCUGAUCCAGCCAUGCCGCGUGUGUGAAGAAGGUCUUCGGAUUGUAAAGCACUUUUAGUUGGGAAGAAGAGCAGUAAGUUAAUACCUUGCUGUUUUGACGUUACCAACAGAAUAAGCACCGGCUAACUUCGUG